rnacentral:rRNA from 1 species
GGGGAAUUUUCCGCAAUGGGCGAAAGCCUGACGGAGCAAUACCGCGUGAGGGAGGAAGGCUCUUGGGUUGUAAACCUCUUUUCUCAGGGAAKAAAAAAAUGAMGGUACCUGAGGAAUAAGCAUCGGCUAACUCCGUGCCAGCAGCCGCGGUAAUACGGAGGAUGCAAGCGUUAUCCGGAAUGAUUGGGCGUAAAGCGUCCGCAGGUGGCUAUGUAAGUCUGCUGUUAAAGAGCRAGGCUCAACCUYGUAAAGGCAGUGGAAACUACAUAGCUAGAGUGCGUUCGGGGCAGAGGGAAUUCCUGGUGUAGCGGUGAAAUGCGUAGAUAUCAGGAAGAAC